UACGUAGGGUGCGAGCGUUGUCCGGAAUUAUUGGGCGUAAAGGGCUCGUAGGCGGUCUGUCACGUCAGGAGUGAAAACUCGGGGCUCAACCCCGAGCCUGCUUCUGAUACGGGCAGACUGGAGGUAUGCAGGGGAGAACGGAAUUCCUGGUGUAGCGGUGAAAUGCGCAGAUAUCAGGAGGAACACCGGUGGCGAAGGCGGUUCUCUGGGCAUUACCUGACGCUGAGGAGCGAAAGUGUGGGGAGCGAACAGG
rnacentral:rRNA from 1 species